rnacentral:rRNA from 1 species
ACUCUAAUGAGACUGCCGGUGACAAACCGGAGGAAGGUGGGGAUGACGUCAAGUCCUCAUGGCCCUUAUGGGUAGGGCUUCACACGUCAUACAAUGGUACAUACAGAGGGCUGCCAAACCGCGAGGUGGAGCAAAUCCCAGAAAGUGUAUCGUAGUCCGGAUUGGAGUCUGCAACUCGACUCCAUGAAGUUGGAAUCGCUAGUAAUCGCGGAUCAGCAUGCCGCGGUGAAUACGUUCCCGGGUCUU